rnacentral:rRNA from 1 species
GACGAACGCUGGCGGCGUGCCUAACACAUGCAAGUUGAGCGACGAACCAGGGCUUGCCCUGGGGCAAAGCAGCGAACGGGUGAGUAACACGUGGGUAACCUGCCCCGAUGAUCGGGACAACCCGAGGAAACUCGGGCUAAUACCGAAUGUGCUCGCCGGACACCAGUCCGGCGCGUAAAGGAAGCUUCGGCCUCCGCAUCGGGAGGGGCCCGCGGCCCAUUAGCUUGUUGGUGAGGUAACGGCUCACCAAGGCAACGAUGGGUAGCUGGUCUGAGAGGACGAUCAGCCCCACUGGGACUGAGACACGGCCCAGACUCCUACGGGAGGCAGCAGUGGGGAAUCUUGCGCAAUGCGCGAAAGCGUGACGCAGCAACGCCGCGUGGGGGAAGAAGGCCUUCGGGUUGUAAACCCCUUUCAGGAGGGACGAAGGUUCGGCGGUGAAUAGCCGUCCGGACUGACGGUACCUCCACAAGAAGCCCCGGCUAACUACGUGCCAGCCGCCGCCGUAACAC